GCACCUGGGACGGGCCAGCCCUGCAUGUACAGACAGACUGGGGAAUGAGAGGCUGGACAGCAGUGCCAUGGAAAGGGCCCUGGGGCUCUGGUCCAUGGCAAGCUGGAUAUGAGCCAGCAGUGCCCUGGCAGCCAGGAGGGCCAAGCGUGUCCUGGGAACAUCAGGGACAGCAUCACCAGCCAGGCAAGGGAGGGGAUUGUCCUGCUCUGCUCUGCUCUGGGGCAGCCUCACCUCGAGUGCUGGGGGCACUUUUGGGUGCUACAGUACAAUCAAGUUAUUAAACUAUUAGAGCGCAUCCAAAGGAGGGCAAUGAAGAUGGUGAAUGGAUUUCAAGGAAGCCAUAUGAGGAGCAGCUGAGGUCACUUGGUCUGUUCAGCCUGGAGGAGACUGAGGUACUGUUAAAUGUUCCUCUUGUGAGUCAGGAGCAGUGAAAUCUAGCCACCAAAGGGAAAUCUCUAUCUCCUGAGCAGAGCAGUAGCUUACCUGGAGGGCACUAUGGCAGGAAGAUGAGGACAAGGGUGCACUCCUUCAUGUGGGUCUCUGAACAUCUCUGCCCUUUUUCCUCCAGAGAGCAGAAAAUGCUGGGAGAGCCUGGAUGUUAUUUGUGCUGGAUGCACUUGGCUCCAGAUGAACAACAUGACCACUUCAUCUUCCUCCAGUUUACCCUGUCAAGGAACGGAGAAGUAUGGGCACAUAACUAGUAGGACAUUUAUUUUUGAAGACGUCUUCUUGGGCAGAAGAGGAAUGGUUCAGAAGGUGGGCAUUUUGCAGAGGGUACCAGUGAAAGUACUGAGUGCUUAUGUCCUGCCUUCUGUGAGUUUACCCUGCAGGAGGCCUUGCUGGGGCUGGGUCACAAGGACCAUGUGGCAGAAAGGGAUUGUGAUCAAGCAAAUGCCUGACUCUUCACCUUCUAAUGUGUUAGAGUUACUCCAUUACUAUGUUGCAUUUCAAGAAAUGCCACUAAGUUCCCAUUUUAAAUACAUUUUAUAUUUUAGAGUAUUGUUGUGAUACUGGCGAAAGGAAGCUCAGUCAGAUUCAGAAAGGCAGAAGAUCCAUUUAAGCGCUUGUGUAUAGAGAAAGGCAGGGGAGAAACUGCAUGCUGACUGUAGUGGUGUAGAAGGGUCUGGAAGAAAAGAUUAAAUGACACAGGGUGGUGCUAAAAUCCUCAGAAACAAUCAAAGUUAAACACCAAUCAUCGGAAAUAACCUGCAGCGUUUUAAGAAUGUAUAAUUUCUUCAAUGCUAAGUAGUUCUCUUUUGGUCAAAAAAGGGAGUAUAUAAAAAGAGAAUUAUUACAGGAUUCAGAGCAGUGACAUUGUGCUUCUCAUUACCUUAAUCCUCCUCCUUAAACCUCCUCUGAUGUACUAUGAAGAAUGCAUGUUUUACAUGAUUUGUGAUCUCUGAUUUGUUGUUCUGUAAUCUCUGAUUUGUUGUAUUAUAAAGUGCACAUUAGAUGUACGUAAGUGCAUGCUUUCUAGGGCACUGGAUUUUUAAGUUCUAUAUAAAUUUGCUGCAGCUUGGUGUACGUGCUCAUGUACAUGUACAUGGCAAUGAUUGAUUUUGGACUUGCUAAACCAUAAGAUAUUAAAAACUGAAGACAGAAUAAUAGGAUAAUUCAUGUUCAUUGUGAAAAAGAACUAUUUAUGCAUUUGUGUAAUUUACUACCCUCCCUCUCAUAAUACCUCUUGUCUCCACCACUAGCCAAAGGCCAUACGUGAUUUCCUACACCUGGCUGUCAGGACAGGCAUAGAAAAUCACAGGGUCAGUGGGAGGGGCCAUUUUUGAAAAGUGUAGCUUACGCUCUACUACUGGAUUUUUAUUGAACACUCAACAAAGUAAUAAUUCCUGUGUGUGCCUGGCAGUGCACCAGUCUGCAGUCUGGCUUCUCUGUUUAUUUAGUAAACAUUUGAAAACAGGAAAAGCAGACAUUUAUUUAAAUGGCACCAUGCAGUAUUAGGAGGGAAGGGGUUUCUGGUGCUGUUUGCCUUCUGUAAGUCCCACAUUCCUGUUACUAUUGUAAGUACUAUUAGAUAUUAUUGCACAAAAGAAUUGUAAAUAGACAGUAUGAUUUUCAAAUUUGGAAUGCUGGGGAUUUAUUUUUAUUUAUAGUUGGGAGAAUCUUCUGAUGUGCAGAAGGGAGAAAAAAGGGUUUGUGUGGAGAGCUGAAUUAUUUUUUUGGACCAAGAGAGAAAUUUAGUGUGUUUGAAAGAUAGUUUGUAUUCUUCCAUUGUUAUAAAUUGCUGUGAUGAAAGACAUUUAUUUCCCUUCUCCUUGUUUAAAAAAUGAUACCUCCUUAAAUCAAUAAUGUGCCAACACAAUAAGAUGGUAUUUUGGCAAAAUCCACUAUACACUGUAAGUUUUGAAUAGAGUAUUCUUUGCAUAGUAACCAAUGAGCUCAGUAUCCCAUUACUGUGUGUUUUGUACUCCUGCUUCCCAUCCACCUCCCACGCAGCUACCAGGGAAGGCACGCAGUAAAUCACAAAGCACCUAAUGAGCAAGCAUUCCUGCAGCGCUGGUGCAGCAGAGCUGAUGAAUGUAUAGUGAAGGGACCUUCUGGCAGGGGAGUUGAUGUAGGUGGAGAGUGACACAGGCUGCAGGUGAUGCUGGACAGAAAUUAGGAUGGGUCAGUGUGGAGAGUGGCCUGGCAGCAGGAGGGGGUGCAGAUUAGGAGCAAGGGGAGACAUAGGUAAAUGUUGCCUCCCAACACUAUCCCUUCUAUUUGAAUAAACUGAUUUGGGUCUGAGGUCUCCUGCACUGCUUUCUGCCCCCUAAACCAUCCAGAGAUUUAGCUUUGCCUUCCCCAGCCUUGGUGAUAUUCCAGCCUCAUUCUUGGUACCACUUCCACUGGCUCCCAGGAAGCCAUCCCGAUGUCACUGAGCAUACAGGAUUUUAUCUCUGCCUCCCCACUCUGAGCCCUGCUGGGCUGGCUUGUGGCACAGAGGACAUUCAUAGUGCUGCAGAAGCAGAGGUUGGAAUGGCUAUUUGGAGCUGCAGAAGCUCAGUCAGCCCCACACCUCUGUCCUGUUGGGAAAAAUGCUCCUUAGGUCAUUCACCAUGAUUUAGGAAUACCUGUCUCUUUUCCUGCAGUACAGAUACCCCUUUUACCACUGCACUUCCCUUUCUCCUCUGUACCUGUUGGGUGUAGAUUUUUCUCUCUUGACACUCAGUUUGACUUCCCACUUGUCCCCUACUACAUGGGGGUCCCAGCUGGGCUGAUGUAGACCAGUCCUCCCAAGAUGUGCUCAGGCUUUGAGUGUUACUGUGGCUGAAGGGCAGCCAUAAACCCACUGCUUUAUAUGGGCUGUAUUCACUUUGGGUUCACCAAAGAAGUAUAGGCUAGCACAGAAGUACAACCUGUAGCACUCAGCUUCCCAAAAGUCAGUGCCUUGUCUUCCUCCUGCUUUCAUUUUUGUUCCACUGCCCCUUUGUUGUGGGACCUGCGUGGCCAUGUCAGCUCAGAUACUUUGCAGGUCUGCUCUGGAAACUGCACUGGAAACCGUGGCCACUGCACACAUACUGUUUGGUAAGCCAACUUAGAAAUUUGUUGCAACAGGCAACCAAGCAAUGAGUGUCCUGCUUUGGGAACAGAAAAGGAAUAUUGCUACACUUGUAGUGUAUUAAGCCAUAAGACAUAAAAGCUUGUAUUAGUAAAUAAAGACUAUUAUGAAAUUUAACAUUUAACUUCAAAAUAGACAAGAAAGAGACAUUUGUAUUUCCAUAGCAACCUUACAAUGUAGAAAAUCUUUACGUUUCAAAUUUUAGUGAUAUCUUAAAUUUGCAAUUAUGGCCAUACUCACCUAUACAGAUAAAUUUCCUAAAACAAAGUAUUUAACUUGUCAGCUUCUAGUCCUUUUAGUGUAGACUUACAAAAAACAGCUGUUUUUACUUUUUUUACUCCAUUUAAAACAGCUGUUUGCUAGUACUGCAACUGUUUUAAAUAUCUAUAACAACAAAAAGACCAAUAUACAAUAUAAGGAAAAAAAUAUAUAUACAUACAUCUCUCAGUGCUAACCAUAAGAGUAGCCAGAUGCUGUUGCUGUUCUGCUGAAAAUUAAUUUUUUAAAAUCACUGUAGCAAUAGACUGAAAUAUCAGUCUAAACCUGAUGGAAGAAAUUCCUUUACGUGAAACCAAAAUAAACUUAAUCUUUCCCCAAAAUUAAUGUCAUUGAUUCUGUCAAGUAAUCUUAGUACAUUUGCAUGGGACGCAUUGGAGGACCAGAGGAUUUUGAAAUUAGUAGCACGUGACUUACCUUUGUGCUGGUCAAACACGGAUGAGGAACUGAAAUCCAUUGUGAUCUAUCUCAUUAUUUACAACCAGACCAGACAAAUGCCACCUCCAGGGUUCUCAGGGUAGAAUCUCAUAUAUUACAGUACACAGUGAAAUGAUAGCUGUCACCAGUCUUCCUCUCAGAGAAUUAAACUUGCUUUACGGCUGCAGGUUGUUGCCAAGGCAAGAGCCUGAUGGAAACACUAUAUUCUGUUAUGGACUGUCUUAAAAAGAUGCCCCUGGAAGCCUAUCUGAGAGCCUGAAAAAUGCCAUGUCUUCAGCGAGUGCAAGAGCCGGCGAGCAGCUCGGC